AGAGCGAACGCUGGCGGCAGGCCUAACACAUGCAAGUCGAGCGCCCAUAGCAAUACGGGAGCGGCAGACGGGAUAGUAACACGUGGGAACGCGCCCUUCGGUUCGGAAUAACUCAGGGAAACUUGAGCUAAUACCGAAUACGCCCUUACGGGGAAAGAUUUAUUGCCGAAGGAACGGCCCGCGUCCGAUUAGCUAGUUGGUGAGGUAAUGGCUCACCAAGGCUACGAUCGGUAGCUGGUCUGAGAGGAUGACCAGCAUCACUGGGACUGAGACACGGCCCAGACUCCUACGGGAGGCAGCAGUGGGGAAUAUUGGACAAUGGGCGCAAGCCUGAUCCAGCCAUGCCGCGUGAGUGAUGAAGGCCCUAGGGUUGUAAGCUCUUUUGUGCGGGAAGAUAAUGACGGUACCGCAAGAAUAAGCCCCGGCUAACUUCGUGCCAGCAGCCGC
rnacentral:rRNA from 1 species